rnacentral:rRNA from 1 species
GGAAUAUUGCACAAUGGGCGAAAGCCUGAUGCAGCGACGCCGCGUGAGGGAUGACGGCCUUCGGGUUGUAAACCUCUUUCAGCAGGGAAGAAGCGAAAGUGACGGUUCCUGCAGAAGAAGCGCCGGCUAACUACGUGCCAGCAGCCGCGGUAAUACGUAGGGCGCAAGCGUUGUCCGGAAUUAUUGGGCGUAAAGAGCUCGUAGGCGGCUUGUCACGUCGGUUGUGAAAGCCCGGGGCUUAACCCCGGGUCUGCAGUCGAUACGGGCAGGCUAGAGUUCGGUAGGGGAGAUCGGAAUUCCUGGUGUAGCGGUGAAAUGCGCAGAUAUCAGGAGGAACACCGGUGGCGAAGGCGGAUCUCUGGGCCGAUACUGACGCUGAGGAGCGAAAGCGUGGGGAGCGAACAGGAUUAGAUACCCUGGUAGUCCACGCCGUAAACGGUGGGCACUAGGUGUGGGCAACAUUCCACGUUGUCCGUGCCGCAUCUAACGCAUUAAGUGCCCCGCCUGGGGAGUACGGCCGCAAGGCUAAAAC